rnacentral:rRNA from 1 species
GAGAGUUUGAUCCUGGCUCAGAGCGAACGCUGGCGGCGUGCCUAACACAUGCAAGUCGUACGGGGAGCGUCGGGGCAACUCGACGCUUCCAGUGGCGCACGGGUGCGUAACACGUGGGUAACCUGCCCUCGAGUGGGGGAUAACCUGCCGAAAGGCGGGCUAAUACCGCAUAACAUCCCGGUGACUUCGGUUGCCGGGAUCAAAGCUCGCAAGAGCGCUUGAGGAGGGGCCCGCGCCCGAUUAGCUAGUUGGUGAGGUAACGGCUCACCAAGGCGAAGAUCGGUAGCCGGUCUGAGAGGAUGGCCGGCCACACUGGGACUGAGACACGGCCCAGACUCCUACGGGAGGCAGCAGUGGGGAAUCUUGCGCAAUGGGCGAAAGCCUGACGCAGCGACGCCGCGUGGAGGAUGAAGCCCUUCGGGGUG